UACGUAGGGGGCUAGUGUUGUCCGGAAUCAUUGGGCGUAAAGCGCGUGUAGGCGGUCCGGUAAGUCCGCUGUGAAAGUCGGGGGCUCAACCCUCGAAUGCCGGUGGAUACUGUCGGGCUAGAGUGCGGAAGAGGCGAGUGGAAUUCCUGGUGUAGCGGUGAAAUGCGCAGAUAUCAGGAGGAACACCGGUGGCGAAGGCGGUUCUCUGGGCAUUACCUGACGGCUGAGGAGCGAAAGUGUACGGGGAGCGAACAGG
rnacentral:rRNA from 1 species